rnacentral:lncRNA from 1 species
UGAUAGUGACUAAUACUAGAAUUUAGACACUAUAGCAAUUAAACAUAUUGGACAAGGAUUCUAAAACAACUGAAUAAAUGAAAGAGACCUUAUAACAACUGUUUCGGAUAUAAGACUAGAGAUUAAACACAACCCCUGCUGCUCCUUAUCCUCCCCUCUCCGAAUGUCCCUGCUUCACCACCGAUCGGACGUGACCUGCAAGUUAGCACUCUGACGCUCAAGUUAGCGAAGUCACCUCUAGAUUAAUCACAAUACGUCUUACUUAAAGAAAUUAUACCUGGCAUAUCUNUGUAUUUAUAGGCCUCANCCAGUUAAAAGUCAUUAACUACNUGUAACAGCUGAUUCAUCAAUCCCGGAUUUCUCGCCUACUAAUUAGCGUCGUUACGAUUAUGGCCGAGAAAUCCGCAUCCCUGAUAUAUCUGAGAUCCCUNCAGGUACUUGCCUUGUCAACUGACACUCCCGUUCGUCCCAACGUCCAUACCGACCAGCUUCAUAAGCUUCCCGAUCGUUUAUCUACAUUCCCCACAGGUUACUCGCUUGCCUUUCUCCCUUUGCCAUUCCUUCCUCUUAUGGCUUCACUCCCUUCCAAAUUUGUCCGACCGGCCUUCCCCUCACCUUACAUAAGCCCCCCAAGCCCCAAGCGUUACGAUAAGCGAAGGGGUUUAAGUUCCGCUGACCAGCUCUGACAUAUCGAGACCCUACGAUUACCUUUUCAUCUAACGAUCCAGAUUAAUUCAUCAAAUCCGAGGUGUGACAUGAAACGACACUCUUUCUCCGCCCUAGGAUCCAAGGGUAAUGGACGACCACGAUUACCUCAUGAAACCGUUUUUCACGGCUAUAAAUAGAUGAAGGGCCCCUGCCAUUCUGUGUCUUUCUUCCCGC